rnacentral:rRNA from 1 species
UACGUAGGGAGCAAGCGUUGUCCGGAAUCAUUGGGCGUAAAGCGCGCGUAGGUGGCCAUUUAAGUCCGCUGUGAAAGUCAAAGGCUCAACCUUUGAAAGCCGGUGGAUACUGGGUGGCUAGAGUACGGAAGAGGCGAGUGGAAUUCCUGGUGUAGCGGUGGAAUGCGCAGAUAUCAGGAGGAACACCAAUAGCGAAGGCAGCUCGCUGGGACGUUACUGACGCUGAGGCGCGAAAGCGUGGGGAGCGAACAGG